UACGGGGGGGGCAAGCGUUGUUCGGAAUUACUGGGCGUAAAGGGCGCGUAGGCGGCCUGCUAAGUCGGACGUGAAAUCCCUCGGCUCAACCGGGGAACUGCGUCCGAUACUGGCGAGGCUUGAAUCCGGGAGAGGGAUGUGGAAUUCCAGGUGUAGCGGUGAAAUGCGUAGAUAUCUGGAGGAACAUCGGUGGCGAAGGCUGCAUCCUGGACCGAUAUUGACGCUGAUGCGCGAAAGCCAGGGGAGCAAACGGG
rnacentral:rRNA from 1 species